rnacentral:rRNA from 1 species
AAAAACGUUUCGUUCGUGGGCUGACGCACGGGCUCUCCUCCCCCCGCGCAGCGCCCCCCGAGCUCCAGAUCGGGAGGGGAGCUCCCGAUCCAGAGCCCCUCGCCGCCCCGCUGCCUUCGCGCUCGGCCUCGCCACCGGCCGCCGCGCCGCCGUCGACCAUAGCCGGACCUCCACGCCUCGCGCCCCCUCUUAUGGAGCAGCCAUGGCCACCGGCCGCCGCGCCGCCCACCACGACGAGCUGCUCAGCACUCUCCUCGCCGCCGCGGGCAACGGCCGGGAGGAGGAGGAGGACGCGCGGGAGGCGCGGCAGCGUCAGAAUCAACGCGUCGAAUCCGGCCUCGGCUUACGGCGACACGGACGUGGAGGCUCUGGCUGCGACCGCCGCACUCUAUGCCCCGACCCUGCUCGCCGAGCCCUGCCUCUCCGGUUCUCC